rnacentral:rRNA from 1 species
GUAGGUGGCAAGCGUUAUCCGGAAUUAUUGGGCGUAAAGCGCGCGCAGGUGGUUUCUUAAGUCUGAUGUGAAAGCCCACGGCUCAACCGUGGAGGGUCAUUGUAAACUGGGAGACUUGAGUGCAGAAGAGGAAAGUGGAAUUCCAUGUGUAGCGGUGAAAUGCGUAGAGAUAUGGAGGAACACCAGUGGCGAAGGCGACUUUCUGGUCUGUAACUGACACUGAGGCGCGAAAGCGUGGGGAGCAAACAGGAUUAGAUACCCUGGUAGUCCACGCCGUAAACGAUGAGUGCUAAGUGUUAGAGGGUUUCCGCCCUUUAGUGCUGAAGUUAACGCAUUAAGCACU